rnacentral:rRNA from 1 species
CCUACGGGUGGCUGCAGUAGGGAAUAUUGGGCAAUGGGCGAGAGCCUGACCCAGCCAUGCCGCGUGCAGGAAGAAGGAUCUCUGAUCUGUAAACUGCUUUAGCAGGGGAAGAAAAACCGGGGUGCGCCCCGGCCUGACGGUACCCUGAGAAUAAGCACCGGCUAACUCCGUGCCAGCAGCCGCGGUAAUACGGGGGGUGCGAGCGUUGUCCGGAUUUAUUGGGUUUAAAGGGUGCGCAGGCGGCCUUGUAAGUCAGUGUUUAAAGUCAGCCGCUU